CGGACGGGUGAGUAACGCGUGGAUAACCUGCCUCAUACAGGGAGAUAACAGUUGGAAACGGCUGUUAAUACCGCAUAAGCGCACGAAAUCGCAUGGUUUUGUGUGAAAAACUCCGGUGGUAUGAGAUGGGUCCGCGUCUGAUUAGCUAGUUGGCAGGGUAACGGCCUACCAAGGCGACGAUCAGUAGCCGGCCUGAGAGGGUGUACGGCCACAUUGGGACUGAGACACGGCCCAAACUCCUACGGAAGGCAGCAG
rnacentral:rRNA from 1 species